UACGGAGGGUGCAAGCGUUUUUCGGAAUUACUGGGCGUAAAGGGCGUGUAGGCGGUCCGCUAAGUCUGAUGUGAAAGCCCGAGGCUUACCCUCGGAAGUGCAUUGGAUACUGGCGAACUAGAGUCCCGGAGAGGAGGGUGGAAUUCCUGGUGUAGCGGUGAAAUGCGUAGAUAUCAGGAGGAACACCGGUGGCGAAGGCGGCCCUCUGGACGGUGACUGACGCUGAGACGCGAAAGCGUGGGGAGCAAACAGG
rnacentral:rRNA from 1 species